CUGCUAUAUGACCCUACUUGCCCAAUACUCCACUUCAUCAAGGUGAAGUGACCCACCAAGAGAGACUUUCAGGGUCUGGGCAUUACCAGUUUUUCAGAUAAAAGAUGCCUAUUUUAUUCUGGCUGAAAGCAUGAACAGAAUAAACAAUGAGCUCUGUGAAGAAUGUUCUAUGAACCCGAAUCAAACUCAAACUCCUGUGUCACUCCGGUACGCCUGAUCACUGGAUAUAACCACGUAUUGGUCCAGAACCUCCCUCUCUGUUACUACUCCCUUUGGAUUUAUCCAGUAGUCUUAGACGUCACCAGGGCCAAGCCAUGCAUAUAUAGAUUGAAAUGUUGUUUUCAAAACCUACUCAAGCUAUCUCUUGAUGAACAAGAUUAGUACCAUCUGAUUACAACCCUGAAGGCAUGUAUAGGCAAAAAGGAAAGUCCAAAGAGAGGAAAAGAAAGCAGGAGAGAUCUGAAAUGACACAAGAAGUGACUCAGAAUGGGAAGAUUGUGCACUCCUUGUUGUCCCCUAAUGCACAUGGAAGUAUGCAACAGAAGCUGUGAAAAUAACCCAGAGUUUCGCUCGUGUUGCCCAGGCUGGAGUGCAAUGACA